rnacentral:rRNA from 1 species
AAGCAUAUCAAUAAGCGGAGGAAAAGAAACUAACAAGGAUUCCCCUAGUAACUGCGAGUGAAGCGGGGAAAGCUCAAAUUUAAAAUCUGGUGGCUUUAUAGUCAUCCGAGUUGUAAUUUAGAGAAGCGUCUUCCGCGCUGGACCAUGCACAAGUCUCCUGGAAUGGAGCGUCAUAGAGGGUGAGAAUCCCGUCUUUGGCAUGGAUGCACCAGGGCUUCUGUGAUGCGCUCUCGAAGAGUCGAGUUGUUUGGGAAUGCAGCUCGAAAUGGGUGGUGAACUCCAUCUAAAGCUAAAUAUUGGCGAGAGACCGAUAGCGAACAAGUACCGUGAGGGAAAGAUGAAAAGCACUUUGGAAAGAGAGUGAAACAGUACGUGAAAUUGUUGAAAGGGAAACGCUUGAAGUCAGUCGCGUCGAUCAAGACUCAGCCUUGCCUCGGCUUGGUGUAAUUCUUGGCUGACGGGUCAGCAUCAAUUUUGGCCUUUGGAUAAUGAUAAGGGAAAGGUGGCACCUUUGCGGGUGUGUUAUAGUCUCUUGUCGGAUACGAGGGUCGGGAUUGAGGAACUCAGCAUGCGCCUUUUGGUGUCGGGGCUUCGGCCUACGUUACGUGCUUAGGAUG